UACCUCAUAUCUGGUAUAUCCUUGUCUUGUUUUUCUCUCUUUUUUUCUCUAGUCUCUUCACUCACUUUUUUUUUUCAUUUUUUUUCUUUCUGACAUCUGAUGUCAAAAGCACAGCAUUCAAGUUUUAAAAUGGCUAAUUGAGCCACUUUGCUCAGUUUGAACAAAACCAUUUCCAAACAAACCAAGAAGGCAAUAAUUUGCAAAUUAUGAAAACCACAUAUUUCAAUGAAAAUGUCAUACAUACACACACACACACACACACAAAUUAAAAUGGCAAAGGUUUUUGAAUGAAUGCCAACAAAAGUU